GCGAGACAGCUAUUCCCAUUUCCCCAAGUAGCAAAGGCCAGAACUUACCCAACUCGUGGUCUCUUAAGACUUGACCACAGAGAGCUCGGUUACCCAUUUGCUAGACUGCUGGGUCACGGAAGACAGAGCCAGGGGAGAGCUGACAGGCCUCCCAGGACUGUGAAAGUCCCUUUAGGGGCAUCUAGACCCACUCAGGUGACCUGCUUCUGCUCUGGAGGCCUCUGAGGCCAUCCGGGCUCCAGGGCUUUCUGAGGGCUCAGCUCCUGGGGAAAUGGCAUCCAGUUCAAGUUCGCUGUCUGCCCGGCCUCACUCUCUGGCUUUCUCACAGUCGUGUCUCCAAGAGUCCUUCCCAUUGACGCUGGGCUGUCCAUCUCUGUGCACAGCCUGUUUCCCAGAAAUCCAUCCUGAGACACAAGGACAUGCUUGGAGAAGAUGACAGAGUGGCUGAGGAUCCAGCCCCUGUGGGGAAGGGAACUGGGGGUCGACUUGGACCACCUUGGUGAGGAGAGUGUCUGUGCAGACCAUUAGACGCCAAGGUCCAUGAAAGCAGGGGACAUACAGGUUGUUUGCUCCAAGACCCAGCAGUGUCUGGCUACAUACAGCAGACUCUCAACACAUGUUUGAUGAGAGAAUGAACAAGAAUUUGUGUUUGUUUUAAAUAUUCAUGAGUCAGGUUUGGACAGUAAUAUGAACUGAAAUGCCAUUGCCCGUGGAAGAGCUGCAGCUUGUCUCUGUGAGUACUGAUCGUCCCGUGCAUGCUGAUUUUAUUAAGAUUUUUUUUUAAUGUGGAUCAGUUUUGAAGUCUUUAUUGAAUUUGUUACAACAUUCCUUGUUUAUGUUUUGAAUUUUUCGCCUGGAGGCCAAAUGUGAAAUCUUAGCUCCCCAACCAGGGAUGGAGCCUGCACCCACGGCAUUGGAAGGAGGAAUUUCAACCACUGGACUGCCAGGGAAGUCCCUGGUGCAUGUUUAAAUCAAUUACAAUUAUAAUCCAUUUUGGGGGGAUCAUCCAUGAUUCUUUUUUUAAGUGCUGGGCCAGAUAACCAAGGGAUUAAUGUAUUUUCCAGUGGAUGUGAAUUCAUUAAAGGUACAAGAUUAUUUUA